CCAGAUUGAACGCUGGCGGCAGGCCUUAUACACGCAAGUCGAACGGAAACGAUGCUAGCUUGCUAGCAGGCGUCGAGUGGCGGACGGGUGAGUAACGCGUGGGAAUUUGCCUAUUAGUGGGGGAUAGGCUGGGGAAACCCAGUCUAAUACCGCAUACGCUCUACGGAGGAAAGGGGCCCUAUCCUUGGAAGGUCUCGCUAAUAGAUGAGCCCGCGUCGG
rnacentral:rRNA from 1 species